rnacentral:lncRNA from 1 species
UUUUUUAAAAAAUAUCAUAAGAUUAAAGUAAUUUGGAUGGCAGGGAAUGUAGAAUUAAGGAGGCAUCUGCGGUACACAUGUUCUGGUUUGAUGCUUCUGAAUACACGAGAGAUUGUGAAUCACAUGCUCCGAUGGUGAAGAUCAAAUCUGCGGGUCGUGAAAGAUGUAAGCACUAAGCUGAAUUGGACAAGAUUUUUCACCUUUUUUUUCUUUUUCAUAAAUAAGAAAUGAAUUUUUAUGGUCGUGGGUAGUGGGCCAAUUUGUCCAAUUAUUGACAAAUUUAUGGCAACCCGUGAAGCUUUUUUCUGCGGCGUUUGUUGCUAAGCAUUUGCACUUUCUGAAAACUGCAAAUGGGAAUCUUCAAUGCUUUUAUGAAUUUUUUUGACUACAAAUCUGAUGUUCAUAAAUGGGACCUGUCUAUGGUACAGAUUCUGUAACAAACAUCUCCCGUCAUCCCACCAUCCGAUUUUCUAUUGUUCAGUUUCUCACUCCACAUCCAACCACAUCCAACGGCUGAUGCUGCAGUCUGUACCUUACAGAUUCUGUAAGCUAGUCGAGUCCUCAUAAAUGUUGUUAACUGAUGUACUUUCUUUUUUUCCCUCUUUUCCACUUUUAUUAUUUUGUUCCUUUUUUUUUUUUUUUUUUUUUUUUCAGCGAUUGAAUGUUGAUUUUUCGCCUGUAUUCAACUAACAACUUGUCGGUGGAAGUUAAAGGGCAGAUGGAUGCUUAUAUUUAUGCGUAUGCGCUGACCGCACAACAUUGAUUACCAACAUUGACGGAUAUAAUAGACCCAGCAAGCAGGGCCUACAAGGGAGCACACGCUCAAGACUUUUCUGAAGCUGGGCUGAGCUUAUUAGAUUUAUAGCCUUGGACUUCAGAUUCUUCCGGAUUUGGCAUCACACAUUAUUCUUUUACUAAUCUCAUGGAGUACAAUUGUGAAGAUUCAGUAAUAUCUAGUAAAUAAAAUUGAAGGCACGUAUUGAUCCAAUACUGUAAUAUGACAGUACUAUUGUUUAUCGUAACAUCAACAAUGUCAUCCACUAAAAAUUUUACUUAACGUAAAGCCUGCGUGUAAUUUGCUUCCACAUGAUGCGGCAACCAUUGACGAUGAAUGAGAAGGAAUUGGUCAUUUCUUUCUUUCGUAAUCCCAAUCCUUAUCAUCUACCAGAUGGGAAAUUUUCAAUUUUAAUAAAGAAUAUGGCCG